GAUGAUUGCAGAUCCUGCCUUCUUAUGUAAGCUUCUUUUGGAGCAGGCUGCUAUAAUUGGUUGUUCUGUUUAUUUGGAGUUGAAGAACCAUAAGGAUAGGAUAAAGCAAGAGUGGGAUUAGGCAAUUACUAAUUUCCUUACUGUAGCAGCCUGCAAUGCUGUUGUUGUUUGGUCUCUUGCUCCUUGUCGAUCAUAUGGUAAAAUAUUCCAAUUCGGCUUGCAAAAUACAUUACAGAAGCUCCCGAUCAAUAUAUUUGAAAAGAGUUACUCACUUCUGGAGUUUGAUUUGCAAAAGAGAAUCCAUUCGUUCGUCUAUAAGGCAGCAGAGUUGUGUAUGGUUGUAAAUGUGCUGGAGCAGUACAAGAUGCAGUAUCAAACUUUUUGGCCAGUAAAAAGGAGGGAAGGUUUUCUGUGACAAUUCCAACUCUGAGUACCAAUGCACUUGGUUAUGGUGCAUUCCUC